rnacentral:rRNA from 1 species
GACGAACGCUGGCGGCGUGCUUAACACAUGCAAGUCGAACGAUGAAGCCGGAGCUUGCUCCGGUGGAUUAGUGGCGAACGGGUGAGUAACACGUGAGCAAUCUGCCCUUGACUCUGGGAUAACUGCGGGAAACUGUAGCUAAUACCGGAUACGACACCUUGGGGCAUCCCAGGGUGUGGAAAGAAUUUCGGUCAAGGAUGAGCUCGCGGCCUAUCAGCUAGUUGGUGAGGUAAUGGCUCACCAAGGCGACGACGGGUAGCCGGCCUGAGAGGGUGACCGGCCACACUGGAACUGAGACACGGUCCUGACUCCUACGGGAGGCAGCAGUGGGGAAUAUUGCACAAUGGGCGAAAGCCUGAUGCAGCAACGCCGCGUGAGGGGUGAAGGCCUUCGGGUUGUAAACCUCUUUUAGCAGGGAAGAAGCGAAAGUGACGGUACCUGCAGUAAAAGCACCGGCUAACUACGUGCCAGCCGCCGCAGUAA